rnacentral:rRNA from 1 species
UACAGAGGUGGCAAGCGUUGUUCGGAAUUACUGGGCGUAAAGGGCGCGUAGGCGGUCGGGCAAGUCCUGUGUGAAAUCCCUCGGCUCAACUGAGGAACUGCACAGGAAACUGCUCGACUUGAGUUCGGGAGAGGGAAGCGGAAUUCCGGGUGUAGCGGUGAAAUGCGUAGAUAUCCGGAGGAACACCGGUGGCGAAGGCGGCUUCCUGGACCGACACUGACGCUGAGGCGCGAAAGCUAGGGGAGCAAACGGG